CCGACUCGGGAUUGGCGGGUGUUUAUUCGAUGACUCCGCCAGCACCGUAUGAGAAAUCAAAGUUUUUGGGUUCCGGGGGGAGUAUGGUCGCAAGGCUGAAACUUAAAGGAAUUGACGGAAGGGCACCACCAGGCGUGGAGCCUGCGGCUCAAUUUGACUCAACACGGGAAAACUUACCAGGUCCAGACGUAGGAAGGAUUGACAGAUUGAUAGCUCUUUCUUGAUUCUUAUGGGUGGUGGUGCAUGGCCGUUCUUAGUUGGUGGGUUGCCUUGUCAGGUUGAUUCCGGUAACGAACGAGACCUCAGCCUGCUAAAUAGUCACGGCUGCAUCCGCAGCUGGCAAACUUCUUAGAGGGACUGUUGGCGACUAGCCAACGGAAGUAUGAGGCAAUAACAGGUCUGUGAUGCCCUUAGAUGUUCUGGGCCGCACGCGCGCUACACUGAUACGUUCAACAAGUUCCUUGGCUCGAAAGGUCUGGGUAAUCUUUGAAACCGUAUCGUGAUGGGGAUAGAACAUUGCAACUAUUGUUCUUCAACGAGGAAUGCCUAGUAAUCGCGAGUCAUCAUCUCGCGUUGAUUACGUCCCUGCCCUUUGUACACACCGCCCGUCGCUCCUACCGAUUGGAUGUGCUGGUGAAGACUUCGGAUCGGCCACGCUAACUAGGUCUUCCUAGUUGUGGGGUUGAGAAGUUGUUUAAACCCUCCCAUUUAGAGGAAGGAGAAGUCGUAACAAGGUUUCCGUAGGUGAACCUGCGGAAGGAUCAAAGGGCGAAUUCCGG
rnacentral:rRNA from 1 species